GAUAAGCCUGGGAAACUGGGUCUAAUACCGGAUAUGACUGCUCCGCGCAUGCGGUGGUGGUGGAAAGCUUUUGCGGUUUUGGAUGGACUCGCGGCCUAUCAGCUUGUUGGUGGGGUAAUGGCCUACCAAGGCGACGACGGGUAGCCGGCCUGAGAGGGUGACCGGCCACACUGGGACUGAGACACGGCCCAGACUCCUACGGGAGGCAGCAGUGGGGAAUAUUGCACAAUGGGCGCAAGCCUGAUGCAGCGACGCCGCGUGAGGGAUGACGGCCUUCGGGUUGUAAACCUCUUUCAGUAGGGAAGAAGCUUUCGGGUGACGGUACCUGCAGAAGAAGCGCCGGCUAACUACGUGCCAGCAGCCGCGGUAAUACGUAGGGCGCAAGCGUUAUCCGGAAUUAUUGGGCGUAAAGAGCUCGUAGGCGGUUUGUCGCGUCUGCUGUGAAAGACCGGGGCUCAACUCCGGUUCUGCAGUGGGUACGGGCAGACUAGAGUGAUGUAGGGGAGACUGGAAUUCCUGGUGUAGCGGUGAAAUGCGCAGAUAUCAGGAGGAACACCGAUGGCGAAGGCAGGUCUCUGGGCAUUAACUGACGCUGAGGAGCGAAAGCAUGGGGAGCGAACAGGAUUAGAUACCCUGGUAGUCCAUGCCGUAAACGUUGGGCACUAGGUGUGGGGGACAUUCCACGUUUUCCGCGCCGUAGCUAACGCAUUAAGUGCCCCGCCUGGGGAGUACGGCCGCAAGGCUAAAACUCAAAGGAAUUGACGGGGGCCCGCACAAGCGGCGGAGCAUGCGGAUUAAUUCGAUGCAACGCGAAGAACCUUACCAAGGCUUGACAUGGACUAGUAAGACG
rnacentral:rRNA from 1 species